AUUGAACGCUGGCGGCAGGCUUAACACAUGCAAGCCGAGCGGGGGAAGGUAGCUUGCUACUGGACCUAGCGGCGGACGGGUGAGUAAUGCUUAGGAAUCUGCCUAUUAGUGGGGGACAACAUCUCGAAAGGGAUGCUAAUACCGCAUACGUCCUACGGGAGAAAGCAGGGGAUCUUCGGACCUUGCGCUAAUAGAUGAGCCUAAGUCGGAUUAGCUAGUUGGUGGGGUAAAGGCCUACCAAGGCGACGAUCUGUAGCGGGUCUGAGAGGAUGAUCCGCCACACUGGGACUGAAACACGGCCCAGACUCCUACGGGAGGCAGCAGUGGGGAAUAUUGGACAAUGGGGGGAACCCUGAUCCAGCCAUGCCGCGUGUGUGAAGAAGGCCUUAUGGUUGUAAAGCACUUUAAGCGAGGAGGAGGCUACUUUAGUUAAUACCUAGAGAUAGUGGACGUUACUCGCAGAAUAAGCACCGGCUAACUCUGUGCCAGCCGCCGCCGUAA
rnacentral:rRNA from 1 species